UCCGGUUGAUCCCGCCGGAGGCUACCGCUAUUGGAGUUCGAUUAAGCCAUGCGAGUCCAGAGCUUUCGGAGCUCGGCGUACCGCUCAGUAACACGUGGGUAACCUAACCUAUGCAGGGGAAUAACCUCGGGAAACUGAGAAUAAUGCCCCAUAGUCCACUACGCCUGGAACGGUGAGUGGAUGAAAGCUCAGGCGGCAUAGGAUGGGCCUGCGGCGUAUCAGGUUGUAGGGGGUGUAAAGUACCCUCUAGCCCUCUACGCGUACGGGUGUUGGGAGACAUAGCCCGGAGAUGGAUUCUGAGACACGAAUCCAGACCCUACGGGGUGCAGCAGGCGCGAAAACUUGGCAAUGCGAGCAAUCGUGACCAGGGAACUCCAAGUGGCUGGGGUAAGACCCAGUCUUUUCAGAACUCUUCAAAGGUUUUAGAAUAAGGGGUGGGUAAGGACGGUGCCAGCCGCCGCGGUAAUACCGGCGCCUCAAGUGGUAGUCGCUUUUAUUGGGCCUAAAACGUCCGUAGCCGGUUUGGUACAUUCGUGGGUAAAUCAACUCGCUCAACGAGUUGAAUUCUGCGAGGACGGCCAGACUUGGGACCGGGAGAGGUGUGGGGUACUCUCAGGGUAGGGGUAAAAUCCUGUCAUCCUGAGAGGACCACCUGUUGCGAAGGCGCCACACUAGAACGGAUCCGACGGUCAGGGACGAAGCCUAGGGGCACGAACCGGAUUAGAUACCCGGGUAGUCCUAGGUGUAAACGCUGUGGACUUGAUGUUGGAGGAGCUCCGAGCUCUUUCAGUGUCGAAGCGAAGGUGAUAAGUCCACUGCCUGGGAAGUACGGUCGCAAGGCUGAAACUUAAAGGAAUUGGCGGGGGAGCACCGCAACCUGAGGAUUGUGCGGUUUAAUUGGAUUCAACGCCG
rnacentral:rRNA from 1 species